AGCGUGUAGCUGUGACGGUGGGUUUGUAUAGGGAGGAAGUCCUUUACCUGACUCAGAGGAAGAUGUCUUCAGGCUAAGACGAGGUCUGGUCGAUGUCCUCGCCUCACCCUACAUCUUCUCUCCUCUCAUGUUCCUCCUCUUCCCCCGUCCUCCGUCUCUCUGGUGUUAAUCACAGCCAUCGCCUUCUUGCCACGGGGGAAAUCUCCGUCGCUACUCCUCACUUCAUCUUGAAUUAAUGCAUGAUGUCUGAGAAGGAUGGGAGAUUCUGAGCUGCCAAGGAUGGAUCAGUUCAGUUCUGGCGCUGGAGACUGUGACAUUGACGUAAUCAAGCAGCAAAUGAGGAGGUAACAUUACUAAUAUCAAGAUCAUAGGAAAAAAAAGCUUCUCUUUGUGUUGUUCCUUCCUCAAACCUCUUUUUCAUCUCUGUCGAAAGACGCCAACACGCUGCAUGAAGCUGAUUGGUCACCGCAGAGUUGGAUGAUGACCUGCUCCAUUGUUAAUAAACGUGCAGCUUUAUGGUCGGGGGAAACCUUUUGUGUAGCAGAUUUGCACUGUAAUAAUGUCUCUUUACAUCCACCCUUUGCUUCUGAGAGUGGACGGUCAUUACUCACAUGACCCGUAAGAGAGAGGUCCUUGUCAGGUAAACGUACACAAACAACCAACGCUUCCGCUUUUUCUGGUGAAGACGGUCUCUUUAAUUUCUUCUGCAGCAUCCUCGUCUGCGUUUCCUCUAUUAGUUGGUCUUUAUCUCUUCUCCUUUUCAUUUUCUGAUGCUUUUUUUUUAUCCUUUCUUCUCUCCUCUCUCAUUUUUAUCUCACAUCUUCUCUUGGUACGACUCUCUCACAUCCUCUCCUUCCAUUUCCCUGCCUCUUCUCCCUGUCACUUUUUCUCACACUCCUGUUUUCUCUCCUUUGCUUUUGCACUCUCUUUUUCUCUUUUUUUUUUCUUUCUCUUCUUCACCCUUUUCCCAUCCUUCCUCUUUCAAUUUAGCCCUCUUUGCUGCUUCUCCCCUCUUAUUUUAUUCCCUCUCUUUCUCUCUCAUUCUGGUUGCCAUACAACCUCAGCCUCCUCCUCCACCUCUCUUUUGUAUGUAUCUCUCUUAUUGAUACCCCCCUCCUCCUCCUCCUUCUGCCC